rfam:Otolemur garnettii contig077090, whole genome shotgun sequence.
GCCAGACGCAGGGGCACGUGCCUAUAGUCCUAGCUACUCCGAAGGCUGAUAGAGGAAGAUUGCUUGAGUCCAGGAGUUCUGGGCUAUAGUGUGCUAUGCUGUUCAGGUGUCCUCACUAAGUUUGGCAUCAAUACGGUGACCUCCCGGGAGCAGGGGGCCACCAGGUUGCCUAAGGAGUGAACUGGCCCAGGUUGGAAACAGAGCAGGUCAAAACUCCUGUGCUGAUCAGUAGUGGGAUUGCACCUGUGAAUAUAGCCACUGCAAUCCAGCCUGGGAAACAUAGCGAGACCAGUCUCUU